rnacentral:lncRNA from 1 species
CGUUUCUAUGAGAAUUCGAGGCUUAAUUCUCUUAGAGAACUUAUGAAACCAAGAGUUGUCCAGGGCCAAAAUGGACUCAACCAUGAGAACCGAAUAGGUUAGAUGAGUCAUGGUGUUGGUACAGUUGUUUGGUUUUACACGAACGGCUGGAUGGUUCAAGACAUCGCGUUCACCAACUAGCUUAGUAAAUCCGAUUGUAUUCAACUAAAGAAGGUUCAAGGCCACAAGCUACCUAUCUUGAUGCUAUGACUUGUCGUGUGUAC